rnacentral:tRNA from 1 species
GGUAAAAUGGCUGAGGUGUAGGCGGUAGAUUGUAAAUUUACUAACAAGGUUUUCUUUUUUAUC